GUUUUUAUCGUGAGGAGUGCAAUGUGACCACAUGUGUAUUAAACCUCGAUAUAAUUAGUAGCGAUAAAGAAACAGAUCUAGACACAUCUUAAAAUUGUUUUUGUGAAACUGACUUGCACAUACUUAAAAUGCCGUGAGGUGUUAGGAGAAACUUUACAUAACAACAUGAGCAACGGGAGGAAAGCGAUCUUACAUCUUUUUUUCCUGUAUUAGAUGUGAACACCGAUUGAACUAGACUGUGGCGUAAUUAAGAAAAGAAUUAACUGAACUCGGAAUAAAUGUUCCCAAAGGAUUUAGCGUCGCGAUAGUGCAUCAACUUUAAAACGAAAAUGUGAAAAACAACAACUUGACUCUAGAGCAGCGCAAAAUUCCGAGUUUUCCCCCGUGCUGGGCAGAAAUGACGUCAGAAACCAAAACAAUGUCUUGUAGACUUUACAGACAAUGGCGCAAUCCUGUACUUUAAUAAGAGCAAGGUUCGUCACGGCCAUCGUUUUGAUUUUUGUUUAGAUUGGUGUUGUAUAGCAUUUUUUUUCCCAUAAUAGUCUUUCUCCUCGGAAAACUGGCUAAUACAUAGUAGUCUUUUUCCGGGGGAUGGAUGGAUGGAUUGGUGUAGCCUUUCCCUCAAAGAAGGAUUUUUUCUCCCCUAAAUUUUAGGUUCAAAAUUUAGAAAAGAAUUUUUGGAAAGCCAUUUGACAUUAAACAUUAGAUCAAUGCUUUGCACUUACCCAAAUUGCAUAACCUUCAGGCAAACGCACACGUCUUUGUCGACUAAUUACUUAAUAUGUUUUACAAUACAAUGUUUUAAUUGGUUCAUAUGAAAUAAAAAGAACUAAUUAUUUAUUAAAUGUACAUGCAUAUAGGAUGACAGAUAAUCGUUGCUUGCUGCCUGUUUUAGAGUUUUGAGACUUAAAUUGAUUUAAUCAACUGUACAUUGGGUCGAACAAUACCAAGUUUAGAUGUACGAUCUCAACUUUACCUCAAACCAAAGGAGAAUACACAGAAUACACAGAAAGACAGAGGCAAUCCCAAAGUUUGAGUUAAUGAGGCAGCUUUAUUCUUAGACACAAAGUUAUCAAUUUUAUUUGAAUGUUAGAUGUAUUACAAUUAUAUUAGGAUAAUCCAAACAUGUCUUUCUUUUGUUUAAUUGAAAAUUAUAAAAAUUCUCCUUUCCACUUUUCGUG
rnacentral:sRNA from 1 species